rnacentral:rRNA from 1 species
UACGUAGGUGGCAAGCGUUGUCCGGAAUCACUGGGCGUAAAGCGCGCGCAGGCGGCGAUCUACGUCUGGGGUGAAAGCCCGGAGCUCAACUCCGGGACUGCCUUGGAUACGGGAUCGCUUGAGGAUUGGAGAGGCAAGGGGAAUUCCACGUGUAGCGGUGAAAUGCGUAGAUAUGUGGAGGAACACCUGUGGCGAAGGCGGCUCACUGGACCGGAACUGACGCUGAGGCGCGAAAGCGUGGGGAGCAAACGGG